rnacentral:lncRNA from 1 species
GCGGCGCCCGCGCCGACCCCGGCGCAGCGCUAGGACAGCGCCCCUGCGCGGCCGCCAGCUCCGGCGCAGCGCCUCCCUACACGCGCGCCAACCGGGGCGCCCCCGGCCCGCAGGAAUCCCCGCGGCGGGCGCAGGCGGGGGUGUUUGGGUGGCUACCCGAAAGCACGAGGGGAGUCUGGGAAAACGGGAGGGGGCGAGCUCGGGAAGACGCAGGAGUGAGGGUGGGGGGCCACGGGGGGGCACUGCGGCUACAGAGCCCCGAGUGGGAGGCCGGGGGGAGGCGGGGGCGCCGGAGCUGGGCUGCCUCUUACCUAUCAGGUAAGACUGACCCACGGGAGGGAGGUUUCUAGUCAAGGCUGUUUCCCCCAGGAAAUUUAAAAGCUAGAUUUCGGCUUCAGGGCGAUAGGCCAUGGUGAGGGGAUCUGUAUUUUUUAAGGUUUUUCUAAAGGACUUCUGGGCCAGCCUUCCACCUUGGGAUCCCCAGAUUUGCUGCCGUGAGGUACCUGGAAGGAACAGAGGGACGCCCAAGGGCAGUGACUGGGGGCAGUUAUGGUCACUACAAAAGGAGAACAGGGAUCCCCAGGAAGUGUCUCACGUCCGGCGCUGUGGAAUUAGUUGCUGAUCAAGUAGGGAGAAAAUGAAAUUAAAAUUUUAAGGGCUAAUUCCCCUUCAUUCAAGAAAUAUUUACUGUGAUGAAGACAUGUUCCAUGCAGAGGAAAUGGCCAAUGCAAAGAGCCCCUGACUGGAGGGCAUUUGGCACAUUCUAGGAGAGUGAGGAGGAUUCUAUGGGCCAGGAAUUCAGACAGGGCACAGUGUUGAUGGCUUGUCUGUGUCCUGGCUGGGAUGGCUCAAAUGGUUGUGGGACUAUUUGACUUGAAAGGCUGGAGCCUGGAAUCAUUUGAAACAUUGUUCACUCAUGUGUCUGGCACCUGCGUUAGAAUGACUGAAGGCUACAUCAACUAGAGUACUUACAUCCGGUCUCUCCAUGUGACUUGGACUUUUCACAGCGUGGAGGCUGGAUUUCAAAGGCAGGAAGACACCAUAUCAGGAAAAAGAGAGUGAACAACUGAGUCAAUUGCUGCUGAUGGUCAAGUCAGAAGAAGACUUGGAAUUAACAUAAGAUCUAGCAUCAUGUUUGUGUUAUGUAUAAGAUAUUAACAUUGAUUGCAGAUGCCCACAAUGUUUAUGAUCUGACUGAAUUCUUUAGUGGAAUCACAAAAGUUCAACAUACUCAGAUGUGUACAGUAGGUUAGUAGAGUUUGUAGGGAUAAUUAUGGCAACAUAUUUUAUAUUUCCUAAAUAACUUUAACUUGAAAAAUUCCUAUGAGGACAGAGAUACUAAAGUACAGUGGAUGCUAUGUUUAGUCUCACUAUGCAAUUUAGUCUUGUCUCUAAGAUUAGACUUCUAAACAUUCUUAAGAUUUUGAGAAAGAGAGGGAGAGAGAGAGACACUCAUAUUAAUAGGAAAAAUUGCCAAGAUAUGUCCUAAUUUUUAAACCAAAUAUUUUAAAAUAUUUUAGACAAAAGUUUAUAUCUAGGAAUCUACUUCUAGAUUUAUUAGUCUUUACUGAUUUAAAACUUUACAAAAUAACAAAUAAUAGCUUUCACCUUUUUAAAAACUAUUUUAAAAGACUAAUGUAAGGUAAUUUACUGCAAAAGACAAAUAUCAAUACCAACACCUAGUUUUAAGUUGGAAAAUGUGAAAUAAAAUCUUAUGUAAAAUACAUCAAUACCCAACAAUAUAAUAAUAAUGUAACAUAAAAUUACCAUGUCAUUGGUGGGACACACAAUUUACUAAAGUGUAAAAACCAUAACAUAACUCUUGGAAUCUCUAUAGAACUACAAAAUAUAGUUGAUGCUUGAACAAUGCAGGCAUUAGGAGUGGCAACUCCACAAAGUUGAAAAUCUGCAUAUAACUUUAGACUCUCCAAAAACUUAACUUCUAAUAGCCUACCAUUGACCAGAAACUUUACUGAUAAUGCAGUAGAUUAUCACAUAUUUUGUAUCUGCAUUAUAUACUGUAUUUUUAAAAUAAAAUAAUCUAGAGAAAAGUGAGUAUUGACGGGGCAUGGUGGCUCAUGCCUGUAAUCCUAGCAUUUUGGAAGGCUGAGGUGGGUGGAACACCUAAGGUCAGGAAUUCGAGAUCAGCCUGGCCAACAUGACAAAAUCCCGUCUCUACUAAAAAUAUAAAAAUUAGCUGGGUGUGGUGUCAGGCACCUAUAAUCUCAGCUACUUGUGAGGCUGAGGCAGGAGAAUCGCUUGAACCCAGGGAGGUGGAAGUUUCAGUGAGCCGAGAUCACACCACUUCACUCCAGCCUGAGCAAAAGAGCAAGACUCCGUCUCAAAAAAAAAAAAAAAAAAAAAAAAAGUGAAUGUUAAGAGAAUCAUAAGGAAAAGAAAAUAUAUUUACUACUCAUUAAGUGAAAGUGGAGCAUCCUAAAGAUCUUCAUCCUCAUCAUUUCCAGAUUGAGUAGGCUAAGGAGGGGGAAGAAGAAGAGGGCUUGGUCUUGCUGUCUCAGUGGAGGCAGAGGCAUAAGAAAAACGUGGAUAAAUGGAUCCAUGCAGUUCAAACCCCUGUUGUUCAAGGGCCAGCUGUAUGCUUAAACACAUCCCUGGGGGUUGUAAAACUAAUGUUACUGUUGUUUUCAUUUUGCAAUUUUUCCAUCUUGAUAUAAAAGCAAAAGUAAAGCUAAUCUAUGUACAAUUUAUUAUAGGUCAACUGAGAAUGGCAGAGGACUCAUCCCACCUUUGCCACAUGGUGACUUGCCCCACUCCCCCAGGUGACCUUGCUCGUGCAUGUGGAUAUUUGCUCAGAUUAAGAAUGUUUCCCACAAAAUUGCUUACUCUCUUUCAUUCUGUCCGUGGUUGCUUGUGGUUUAUUUGUUGAUAACUGAGACUAUUUAAAGAUUGCCAAAACAAAAGCCAUUUCUUUUCUCCCCGAAUAGCCUCAUUUUUUCUAUUCCCUUUUUCCCCUCCUAUUAACAUUUCUGGGGACUCUAAAGCAGAGCUCAAGAUGGUUCAGGACCACGGAGAGCGCAAGGAAGGGGAACUACCAAAGCACUUUAGUCAUGCAGGUGGGGAAAGAGAUGAUCCUAAAAUUGUUUUUAUUUUUCUGUUUUUUUGAGAGGGAGUCUCGCUCUGUCACCCAGGCUGGAGUGCAGUAGCACGAUCUUGGCUCACUUCAACCUCCGCGUCCCGGGUCCAAGCGAUUCUAGCGCCUCAGCCUCCUGAGUAGCUGGGAUUACAGGUGUGCACCACCAUGCCCAGCUAAUUUUUUGUAUUUUUAGUAGAGACUGGGUUUUGCCAUGUUGGCCAGGCUGGUCUCCAAUUCCUGACCUCCAGUGAUCCACCCCCCUCAGUCUCCCAAAGUGCUGGGAUUACAGGCGUGAGCCACCACGCCCAGCCAAUAGUGGAAUUGUUGCCGGACAAUAUUUAUUUAAAAGACAUUAUUGUAAAGAGUAACAGUGUAAUUCUGGCUCCUUGAAAUUUGAGGGGAAUGAUUUUUCUGGACAUUCGACCAGUGCUUUCUAAAUUUCUCCACUGAAUUCUAUCUAAUGACAGAUGAGAGGACACUGAAAGUAGGAGUAGCCAUAAGUCACCAGUGCAAAAUGUCUUUUGAAGUUUGCAUUUAUUGAUUGCUACCAUUUAUGUAAAGUUUUACAGUUUUGACAGUCAUAGGGUUCACCAAUCCACCAUAGAAGAGAAUUAAGUCAUGCGGACACAGCAGGGUUUAGAAUGGAUGAGUAGAGGAGUGUGUGCAGGCUCCAGUCCCCAAAGUCUCUAGGACUGUCCUAGAACCUGCAGCUCAUCUGUCAAUUCUGUCAACUACUCAGGAUCCUCUCAAGAAUUAUCCCCCCAUACCCACCUUUUAAAUUUCCUCAAGCUAGUUUCAUUUGAGUUUUGUCACUUGCAACUGAAUGAGCCCUGCUAAUGCAGAUAGAUUCAAUUGAGAAGGGGAAUUCUAGGCUAGGAGUACAAGGUUACAGGCAAGGAGACAGGAACAUAGCUUGGGAUUUCCUGGGGCAGUGAGAAAACUGACUUUAAAAAAAUGGAAUGGUUUCUAAAAUGUUUGUACAACUUCUCUGUAUGGCAAUGGGGUAGGAGUAUAAAUUCUUUCAGCUUCUUCUGAGGGCAGCUGAACAAGAAGUAUAAAAAUUUUGAAUGCUGAUAACAUUUGACCUAGCAAUUCCAUCUCUAGAAAUAAAUUCUACAGUAGUAAUCUUAAAAA